AAGGGUGACGAAGCGACGCCGCGUGUGGGAAGAAGGCCUUCGGGUUGUAAACCACUGUCGGGAGUUAGGAAAUGCAGGUGCGUUAAUAGCGCACUUGCUUGACUAAGGCUCCAGAGGAAGCCACGGCUAACUCUGUGCCAGCAGCCGCGGUAAUACAGAGGCGGCAAGCGUUGUUCGGAAUUAUUGGGCGUAAAGAGCACGUAGGCGGCCUUGCAAGUCAGUUGUGAAAGCCUUCCGCUUAACGGAAGAACGGCAUCUGAUACUACAGGGCUUGAGUACGGGAGGGGAGAGUGGAACUUCUGGUGGAGCGGUGAAAUGCGUAGAUAUCAGAAGGAACGCCGGCGGCGAAAGCGACUCUCUGGUCCGAAACUGACGCUGAGUGUGCGAAAGCUAGGGGAGCAAACGGGAUUAGAUACCCCGGUAGUCCUAGCCGUAAACGAUGGGCACUAAGUAGAGGGGUC
rnacentral:rRNA from 1 species